rnacentral:misc_RNA from 1 species
GAUGAAGAACGUAGCGAAAUGCGAUAAGUAAUGUGAAUUGCAGAAUUCAGUGAAUCAUCGAAUCUUUGAACGCACAUUGCGCCCGCCAGUAUUCUGGCGGGCAUGCCUGUCCGAGCGUCAUUUCAACCCUCGGGACCCUUCGGGGAACCGGUGUUGGGGACCCGUCCGCCGACCCACGGCGGCCGGCCCCGAAAUACAGUGGCGGCCCUGCGGCGACCUCCUCUGCGUAGUACUAAAACCACCUCGCAGGCGGAGAGCGGUGCGGCCCGCCGUAAAACCCCCCAACUUUUACAAGGUCGACCUCAGAUCAGGUAGGAAUACCCGCUGAACUUAAGCAUAUCAAUAAGCGGAGGA